GAUGAACGCUGGCGGCGUGCCUAAUACAUGCAAGUCGAGCGAACGGACGAGAAGCUUGCUUUUCUGAUGUUAGCGGCGGACGGGUGAGUAACACGUGGAUAACCUACCUAUAAGACUGGGAUAACUUCGGGAAACCGGAGCUAAUACCGGAUAAUAUUUUGAACCGCAUGGUUCAAAAGUGAAAGACGGUCUUGCUGUCACUUAUAGAUGGAUCCGCGCUGCAUUAGCUAGUUGGUAAGGUAACGGCUUACCAAGGCAACGAUGCAUAGCCGACCUGAGAGGGUGAUCGGCCACACUGGAACUGAGACACGGUCCAGACUCCUACGGGAGGCAGCAGUAGGGAAUCUUCCGCAAUGGGCGAAAGCCUGACGGAGCAACGCCGCGUGAGUGAUGAAGGUCUUCGGAUCGUAAAACUCUGUUAUUAGGGAAGAACAUAUGUGUAAGUAACUGUGCACAUCUUGACGGUACCUAAUCAGAAAGCCACGGCUAACUACGUGCCAGCAGCCGCGGUAAUACGUAGGUGGCAAGCGUUAUCCGGAAUUAUUGGGCGUAAAGCGCGCGUAGGCGGUUUUUUAAGUCUGAUGUGAAAGCCCACGGCUCAACCGUGGAGGGUCAUUGGAAACUGGAAAACUUGAGUGCAGAAGAGGAAAGUGGAAUUCCAUGUGUAGCGGUGAAAUGCGCAGAGAUGUGGAGGAACACCAGUGGCGAAGGCGACUUUCUGGUCUGUAACUGACGCUGAUGUGCGAAAGCGUGGGGAUCAAACAGGAUUAGAUACCCUGGUAGUCCACGCCGUAAACGAUGAGUGCUAAGUGUUAGGGGGUUUCCGCCCCUUAGUGCUGCAGCUAACGCAUUAAGCACUCCGCCUGGGGAGUACGACCGCAAGGUUGAAACUCAAAGGAAUUGACGGCGGCCCGCACAAGCGGUGGAGCAUGUGGUUUAAUUCGAAGCAACGCGAAGAACCUUACCAAAUCUUGACAUCCUUUGACAACUCUAGAGAUAGAGCCUUCCCCUUCGGGGGACAAAGUGACAGGUGGUGCAUGGUUGUCGUCAGCUCGUGUCGUGAGAUGUUGGGUUAAGUCCCGCAACGAGCGCAACCCUUAAGCUUAGUUGCCAUCAUUAAGUUGGGCACUCUAAGUUGACUGCCGGUGACAAACCGGAGGAAGGUGGGGAUGACGUCAAAUCAUCAUGCCCCUUAUGAUUUGGGCUACACACGUGCUACAAUGGACAAUACAAAGGGCAGCGAAACCGCGAGGUCAAGCAAAUCCCAUAAAGUUGUUCUCAGUUCGGAUUGUAGUCUGCAACUCGACUACAUGAAGCUGGAAUCGCUAGUAAUCGUAGAUCAGCAUGCUACGGUGAAUACGUUCCCGGGUCU
rnacentral:rRNA from 1 species